rnacentral:lncRNA from 1 species
UUGACCUAAACUAGUUUGAUGAACUUGGAUCCAAAAUAGAUCCAUUUACCUGACCCAGCCCUAGAACCGAUGGGGAUUCGUUGACCUACCCAACCUAUUGACUGACCUAGCCCUAAUUGAGGGCCCAUUUGACUUAGACAAGUUAAGGUCUAUUUAAAUAACUCGGUGCAUAGGGAUCCAACCUGAAUCAAUCCCAGAUCCAUUAGGAUUCCCAGAAUUCUUUCGACCCACCAAGGCC